CAUAAUAAUUAGGUUUUUAAUUGGAACCUUGUAUGAAAGGUUAAACAAAAGAAUUUCUGUCUUUUUUUUAAAAAUUGAAUUUAACUUUUAAGUGAAAAGGCUUAAAUUUUUUAAGGGGACGAUAAGACCCUAUAAAGUUUUAUAAUGAAAUAAAUCUUUAAAAAAAUAAAAUUAUAAAUUUAAGAUUUGUUCUUUUAUUUUGUUGGGGCGACACGGAUAUAAAUUUAAUUAACUGUCAGAAAAAAAAACAUAUAUUUAUGAAAAGUAAAAUGAUCCUAAAUAUAGAUUAUAAGAUAAAGUUACUUUAGGGAUAACAGCGUAAUUUUUUUCAAGAGUUCUUAUCGAAAAAAAAGUUUGCGACCUCGAUGUUGAAUUAAAAUGUCUUUACAGUGUAGCCGUUGUAUAAA
rnacentral:rRNA from 1 species